GAUCAUGGCUCAGGAUGAACGCUAGCUACAGGCUUAACACAUGCAAGUCGAGGGGCAGCGGGAAGUCAGCUUGCUGACUUUGCCGGCGACCGGCGCACGGGUGAGUAACACGUAUCCAACCUUCCCGUUACUCUGGAAUAGCCUUUCGAAGAAAGAUAAUACCGGAUAGUAUCGAGAGAUUGCAUGAUUACCCGACUUAAAGAAUUCAUCGGUAACGGGAAUGGGGAGUGCGUUCCCAUUAAGGUCAGG
rnacentral:rRNA from 1 species